rnacentral:rRNA from 1 species
AUUGAACGCUGGCUGCAGGCUUAACACAUGCAAGUCGAGCGGGGUGAUGGUGCUUGCACUAUCACUUAGCGGCGGACGGGUGAGUAAUGCUUAGGAAUCUGCCUAUUAGUGGGGGACAACAUCUCGAAAGGGAUGCUAAUACCGCAUACGUCAUACGGGAGAAAGCAGGGGAUCACUUGUGACAUGGCGCUAAUAGAUGAGCUUAAGUCGGAUUAGCUAGUUGGUGGGGUAAAGGCCUACCAAGGCGACGAUCUGUAGCGGGUCUGAGAGGAUGAUCCGCCACACUGGGACUGAGACACGGCCCAGACUCCUACGGGAGGCAGCAGUGGGGAAUAUUGGACAAUGGGGGGAACCCUGAUCCAGCCAUGCCGCGUGUGUGAAGAAGGCCUUAUGGUUGUAAAGCACUUUAAGCGAGGAGGAGGCUCUUUUGGUUAAUACCCAAGAUGAGUGGACGUUACUCGCAGAAUAAGCACCGGCUAACUCUGUGCCAGCCGCCGCAGUAA